rnacentral:rRNA from 1 species
GACGAACGCUGGCGGCGUGCUUAACACAUGCAAGUCGAGCGGAAAGGCCCUUUCGGGGGUACUCGAGCGGCGAACGGGUGAGUAACACGUGAGUAAUCUGCCCUUGGCUUUGGGAUAACUACCGGAAACGGUGGCUAAUACCGGAUAUGACCAUGCUCGGCAUCGGGUGUGGUGGAAAGUUUUUUCGGCCAGGGAUGUGCUCGCGGCCUAUCAGCUUGUUGGUGGGGUAAUGGCCUACCAAGGCUUCGACGGGUAGCCGGCCUAAGAGGGUGACCGGCCACACUGGGACUGAGACACGGCCCAGACUCCUACGGGAGGCAGCAGUGGGGAAUAUUGGACAAUGGGCGGAAGCCUGAUCCAGCAACGCCGCGUGAGGGAUGACGGCC